GUGGAGGGGUAGAAUGGGGCAUGUAAUGUGAGUACAAAGUCAUCCGAGUAAGCUGGGAAGAAAGUGUCCGUGUGUAGAGAACGUAUAACAUUAAAUGCUGAAUGAAGGGAGGGGAACUUUAGAAAUUAACAAUAUUAAUGAAACCGGAGCCCAGGAGAAGGUCAGACAAUUAGAACAAAUAGAGUGGGAAGAGAUAUGGGCUGAGAGUGAGCUAUUACCGAUCACAAGAGCCAGGCGGAGCUAGCAGAGACAGGCAAGCAGUGCUGGGACAUUAUAGUGCUAACCCUGAGAUGAGUACAGCUACAAACCAGGGGAUCAACCUGUUACUAAUCUCAAUUUGGACUAUGGAGCAAGCUGGGGUAUGACAUUUGGAUAUAUGUUCUACAAACACACUAACGAGGGAGAGAGAGAUCCGGUGGAAGAGGUAGGUGACAUACCAGAGUCUCACAUAAAGAGAUGAUACCUAAGAUGUGCUAUUCUAGGAGUAUAAUGAUACAUGGUGAACAUUCUAAUUGUUUACAUGCUGAUUGCUCCUUAUUUNNNNNNNNNNNNNNNNNNNNNNNNNNNNNNNNNNNNNNNNNNNNNNNNNNNNNNNNNNNNNNNNNNNNNNNNNNNNNNNNNNNNNNNNNNNNNNNNNNNNAGAAGUUUGCCCAGAAUAGUACCUGUUUUGGUUUAAUAAACGUUCCUUAACAUGCUAGGGUAUUGUUAUACAUAUUGUUUGUGUAUAUUUCUCAAAAUGUUAGAAUGUGUUUUUUUUUUUUUUGCAGGAAUACAUUGUUAUAUAUUGUUUGCCGAUAUAUUGUUUAUGUAAUUUUUUUUUAAAUGAAUCUGCUAUGACAGGUUCACAUUAAAGAACAACCACUCCCAAGGCACUUAAUAUAUCGUUUAACAUAAUGAUAUAUAUACAAUUUUGUGCAUUGGAAACUGUUAUAUUGUUACUUGCAGCAGCUUGCUCCAGGUAAUCCAUGAGUGCUGCAGUGCUGUAACACCCACCCUCCAGGUUUCCCCUUAUCUCUUGUUAUUGGCCCUGCUUAGGGAUACUUCCCUAAGCAGGGCAAUCCUCCAUGCUCAUGCAGGCUUCAGCAUAUUGUCAUCAGUGCGGCAAAUAUACAUACACAUACAUAUAUAUAAUGGUCUCCGGGUCCCAGCUGUAUAUAACCACUUCAAUCGGCUUCCCUGCUAACCACCGACCACUAAACCUUUCGCUGGUUCCAGGUCGAAGUUGAGGUUCCGCUGAAGUUGAUAUAGCUAUGUUCAAGGACAUUAGCCGUGAUUGAAUGUUUGAGGGUAAAACCCCCUUUUAAAACACAGAACCCCAAUAUCUUAACAGAGCUCCAUAGUCCUGAGAAUCUCUUAGCACUUUGGGAAAUGUGGUAAACCCAAAACAGGGGGAGGGGGGGGGGGGAGAAGUAGUCCAGAUGGCCACCGUGUACUUGCCUCCCCAAAAGCAGAACCCCCUUCGAAGACAAGGAUGAUAGAAUGUAAGAAGGAGGCUCACUUGCAGUUCUCUCCAAGUGCCAAAGAAUGAAGGCUUCCAUUACAUAUAUGUAUAAAAGUAUGUAACACAUAAAUAAAUCACACAAACUCAUUGGCACACACAGAAAACCUUACUGCAGACAACCUUCCUGACACACACAAGUUGAGUACAGACAAACUCACUGAAACACUCAGAAGCUCUCUGACUCACACAAUCUCACUGACACAUACACAAAAGCUCAAUACAGACAAGCCCACUGAUACACACACAAGAUAACUACAGACUAGCUCACCGAUCACACAAGCACUCCGACAUACAUGCAAACUUACUACAGACAAACCCAUUGGUACACACAAGCUCCCUGACACACACAAGCUCAUUACAGACACAUACACAAGCUCACUCACACAAACACACAAGCUCACUAAAGACAAGCUCACUUCAUACAAAUUCAUUGAUACACACACAGGCUUACCCUACAGACAAACUUCCUAUUGGUUGCAGGAAAAAGGAGGCUUUACCUGCAGCUCCACAUGAGGAAGCUGUUAUACUCUACUGCGGUCCUCUAUAAGUGACUCACGGCAGUCUCUUCCUCCCAGCCUGCUGCCAUAAAUCAAGGGGGCCUGGUCGCGCUUUUAAGGGGCCACAGCACCGGACCGGGCCCUCUUAGCGUGUGGGCUCCAAACAAAUUAGGGGGACCAAUACAGGGAGGAUAAUUCCUAGUUUGGGGAAUAUGCACAUCAUAUAAGAGAACAAUGUUUUAUGACAUUCAAGCUUAAACCAGGGGCCUACACCAGAAGAGUGUUUAGAGGCGUAUGAUAAUAACUGUAUGCAGAAUUACCAUAAUUAAUUAAACCAAACAUAGAGUAUCACCAGAUAUAUAAAUAUACCUGUAGUUAGGUUAUCUAUCCGUAGUAUUAUAACCAGCUAUUUAUUUAGUAAAAUGACAUGUUGUAAUUCAUGCAGCAAUUAACCUUAUAUUCUAAAUGACUGUUAGAGGUCAGUAUUCCGUUUUCAGACUAGUUGCAGAUGAAUUUGCAAAAACCGUGCGGUUAAAUUAUUCGAAUUUUGCAAAAAAUUCUAUAUACAGCCAUAGGGCUUUCGUGCUGACUGUUGAAAUUUAAACUAAAGCUUCCCCAAAUCAAACAACUUUAAUGUGAACUCAUGCAAACAUGAGUAUAUAAUGGCUGAAACAAAAAUUAACGAAAUUGAAAAAGCUUGCGAACAGAUUUAAAACUAAAUCAUUCGGGAGUUGCAACGAACCGACCGUAACAUAAAUAGUAAAACUUGCGAACCGACUUAAAUUAAAUCGCUCGGGAGUUUGAAACAAAACCAACUUAACAAACUAUUAAAACCUUGAGAACAGACUUACACUAAUCAUUCGGGAGUUUGACAUAAAAAAAAAAGUAUACGAAAGGAAGUAUGCAAAAUUGUACAAACAAUUGAGAUAGACCUAAACCAUGAUGACGCUGUGGGACUGCCAAUGUGGCGCGAUGGUUAGGUCAGUAUCUUACGACUUUUUGGCGUGUUUCUGGUUCAGUCUUUGGAGCUGCAGUCUGGAGGGCUGAAAAGUGCACAAUUCUGUAAGCAGAGUGUGACGGCCGGGGGAACCACGGUGGAGAAACAGGUAAGUUUGCAAGAUGGCGACCUGCACGUGACCCGGAAGUAAUCACAUGCAAAUCGCUAGAACAAGAACGGUGUGGAACAAGGUAAGGAGUCCCUUUUAAGUAGGGGAAUUAUGUCCAUCCCACAAUUACAGGUAAAAGCCAUAAAAUAAAUAUAUGUGUGUGUGUGUGUGUGUAUGUAUGUGUGUAUAUAUAUAUAUAUAUAUAUAUAUCACACAUGCAGGUACACAUUGACACACACGUACACAAAAACAGGUAUACAUGAAUACAUAUACACAUACAAAGGACACACACAUAUUGCCAGAUACACACACUGACAUAAACACAGACAGAUACACACACACACACACACACACACACACACAGCUAGAUAUACAGCCAGAUACACACUGACACAAACACUGAUUACAUCAGGUGCCGCAGCCCACAGGGUUUGGAUGCUGGCAGGGGGCCCACGGGGAAGCUACAUUGGGCCCCCCAGGAGUAACUGCGCCCUGGGCAGCUGCCCCGCUUGCCCCCUUUUAAAGAUGGCCCUGCCAUCCUCUCACAACUGUCAGCCUUUUGGAAACAUUUGUGUGACAAAAAUCUGGACACCAGAGGAAGAUUCUAGGAUAUGAGGACUGUCCCAAUGGAUCCAGGAUUGUUGGGUGGUAUGAUGAUACUACACUUUAACACAGGGGUAAGCAACAUUCGGCACUGCAGAUGUUGUGGAGCGCCGAAGGUUGUCUAUCUCUGCUCUAAUAUCAAAAUUGCAAUAGGAGAAGGCUGAGACAUUGCAGUGCAUGCAAGUUAACCGACACCCAUAAUAAUAUUAUGGUACAGUGAAACUGUAUUGGUGAAAAUGCUUUCAGUUUCAAAUCCGCAAGCACUGCAUUACCUAUAACCCAAUUAUUUAUCAGGAUUAUUCACUAAAGUGAGAAUUAAAGGUGAAUUUAAAGUGCAUUUCAAAUGUAAGGUCAAAAUAGCCAAACUGGAAAUAUUCUCUCAGUCUGCUAUGCUCUCCAUUCAGCUAAUCUAGCCUUACAUUUGAAAUUCACUUUGAAUUCAUCCUUUUGUAAAUAACCUCAGUGAGAGUCUAGUAGAAUACAACUUUCUUUGGUUGUUAUUAUUGUUAUUAUUAUUAUUUUUAUAGCUCCAUAAAAUUUCGCAGUACUUUACAGUGGGUGGAUGAACAGACAUGUAGUUGUAACCAGACAAGUUGGACACACAGGAACAGAGACUAUAAUAUAAUUCACAUUAAACUUACCCUUAUUCCAAUGCUGGGACAGUCUCCUCAAUGAGACCACAUUGCACUGGAUGCACCAUGCACAGUGUUGGCCUAUUUUGCAUGCUAUUGCCAUCUGUCAAAUAGAUUCAAUAAUUGAAUCUACUCCUAUCAGAAGCCUCUAAUGAAUGCCUAUCGGCAGCAUGGCAACUGCAAAAUGGACACAGGGCCUUUUCUAAUAAACGGCACGGUUUUCAUUUGUUAGGCUACAAGGGCAGCAUCUGUGUCCUGAAAUCACAUCAUUAAGAUGAUUUGUUUUUGGUGUCGAUACUGUCCCUUUAAUAACCGUGAGAAUGGUGAGUAGUUUUAAACUUUUUCUUUAAACUUUUUCUUGUUUUGCCUUUCUUACAGCAUUAGACAGUGCACAGUACUACGCUCAGCCCUGCUGUUUAUUUACAUUCUCUAUUUUUCUUAUUUAAAAUAUACUCGUAGCUCAAAGGUUUGUUUUUGUUUUUUGUUCAAAUCAUUAUAGUAAAAGAUCAUAAACACACAUUUAGUUAGAGAAACAGAACUGUAUAUUUCUGGAAAUAAAGUAAUCAAUUUGGAAUAAUAAAAACAAUAGAAGUAACAAACUGAACAAAUCACAUUGAGGCAUAACAAUUUACAUUUCACCUAGACUGAAGGAAUAUUAUUUUACCACAUGACAGGAGGCUUCAUAAUUUGCAUAACUUUCUUUACUGUAAACUUCAGCAGCAAAGGUCAAUCAUAAAGUGUAAACCAAUCAGAAUAAAUGACACAAAUAUGUAUCAGGCAGUAUGAUCCCGCUUCUCCCUCUUUCUUUGCUGCUUCAUCUGCAACAGGUCAGAGUAUUUGUUGUGACUCUAUUCUGCUUUAUUUUCUACUUAUUCUUACCUUCCAUAGCUAUCCUACCCUUUUAUUGAGUGCCCGGUUCUUUAUUUUAUUUAAAGGGACACUACAGUCACCCAGACCACUUCAGCUCAAUGAAGUGGUCUGGGUGCAAUGUCCCUCAGGUUUUAACCCUUUACAUGUAAACAUAGCAAUUUCAGAGAAACUGCUGUGUUUACAUUAGGGGUUAAGCCAACCUCUAGUGGCUGUCUUCCUGACAGCCGCUAGAGGCGCCUCUGCGACGCUGGACGCGAAUUUCGCAUCCAUCGCACAGAGCGUCCAUAGGAAAGCAUUGAAAAAUGCUUUCCUAUUGACAGCUUGAAUGCGCGCGCGACAGUUGCAUUCCGCUGCACUCGGGAGCUGACGUCGGUGGGGGACGAGAGGUCACCAAUGCCGAGGGAGCCCGGUGCUGGAAUAAGGUAAGCUGCUGAAGGGGGUUUUAACCCCUUAAGCGCCACGGGAGGGGGACUCUGAGUGGGGGGGGGCACCCUCAGGGCACUAUAGUGUCAGGAAAACCGCUUUGUUUUCCUGACACUAUAGUGAUCCUUUAAUUCCCUAUUUUACAUUUGUGUCUGUUUCUGUUAUUCAUCCUGUAAGGAGCUGCCUUUUGGUUUAGGCCUAGCUUCCUCUCGGAUUUUCUACCGCAUUUGCACACUGGGCCAGGAUUAGGGGUUAGAGGGGUAACUGGGGUCGUUUUUUCACCGCUCACUCGGACCGCAGGAGUUGUUCCCGGUCGGCCCUCGCGCACAGCAGCCUUUUUGGAUCUCGUUUGCCGUGAGAUUCACGGCGGCCAUCUCGCUGUUUCCCAGAACUAGAUACGGACUGUCCAGGACCUCUGACUAAACGGAAUUUAACUACCUGCUCACAGGACCCUGCAGGGAACUCCCUAUCAGGCCAGGUAACAGACUGGCUACUAAUUUCUGGUCCUCUCAUCCGCAAGAGCCCACAUAUAUCCUAUCCUGGCCACGUGCCUUAUGGUAUUCUAUAGGGGUAAGUCCCCCUUUACUAAUGGAGACUUCCAGCGUUUUCCCAUAUUAAGGGUAUUAACUCCUUGCAUAUAUUAGCCACUUGUUUCAACUGGCUGUGAGUGGUGAGUCCUAAUAAUAAUUAAUGGCACCUUUAUGUGUAUACCUCGUUGGUUCACUCUAUCUACUGUAUCCAGGAUUUAAGAUGGAGGUGCUUACUUCAAUCGUGUACUUUUAUGCCAUUGUCACCGAAUGAUACCACUGACAACCUAAAGAGGGUGGUAUACAGUGUAUACAAUGUAACUUUUCUGGUGCCUGUUUGUGCAGAUUGUCUGGUACAGCUGUGAGAAGUCCAUAAUUCAAGCUGCAGUAGUAGCAUCAAUGGAGAAGGCACUCUCCAAAAGAUCUCACGCAACCUCCUCCUGAGGUCUCUUCACAAGCCGUGGGUAUGCCGCCUCCAUGUGAUGAUGGCAUGGUAGGCUCUGAUGUCUCCAACACUGAGGCACCAGCUGUGGUCAAACGCCACAGGAAAGGCAAUACACCCUUGCCCACUAAGGACAAGAAUACUACUACGGCUGAACACCCUAAAUGAUAAGCGGUGUCAGAACCACCACCGCCUGUGAUAUCCUCAGGGGAGGACGAUGACUUCCGUGCUGCUGGCCUAGACAUCUUAGACGCAUAGUGGGUGGGAAGGGCUGGACCGAAAUAUGUUAAGGAAACAUAUAAAGGGGGUCCCUGACAUCUCAGAGACAUUCAGGCUAUUCAAGAAAAUGACGGGCUGUUCCUAAACACCCAGGGAUGCCUCAUGUUUGAUCCAAGGACCAUACGACACCCGAGAUUCUCGGAGUGGUCUCGGCCUUCUCAUCUGGACAAGUUCGUCCACUAGUGGACUCGCAGGCCAUUCAGGAGUGGGCACAGCGCAGCAUCUGCCAGCUAGGCAACUCCAAUGCUGCCUUGUGUACCAAAAAACGCAGAACCGUAUUACUCCAAGGAUCUCACUGCUACUGAUUGCAACGUUGUGGCUGAGCCAAGCAUGUUUCCCGGACCUGUUCGAACUGUCCUAUGACCAUCCACUUCUUCAUCCGACGUUUUCCGUUUCUACUCUCCAACCCCAUGGGGGAACCACAUCCUCUCAUCCUAAAGGACCGUCUAGAAAUAGUGGCUUGGAUUAUUUCAGGGGAUCUUGGAAUGUCAACGGCCUAUCACAGGCUACUGAAGACCUAUUGUGGGACUCAUGGGAUCCCGGCACUAGACUCCGUUACCUUGCUGCCUGGAACAAGUGGAAUAGCUGGUGUGUGUGUGUGUGUGUGUGUGUGUGGAGAGGGAUUACGAUCCCUUUACGACACCUCUACCAGUCGCACUGAAUUUCCGGAUGCAACUAUUCGCCUCAGGUAGUUCUUAUCGUUUCUUUAACUUUUAUCGUUAAGCCAUUUCUGAUGAACAUAUUCCAGUUCCUGGUUUGCUGGUAGGGCAGAACCUGCUCAUCUGUCGACUGUUUCGUGGUAUCCAAUUAUCACGUCCACCCGCUCCAAUAUAUUCUCGGUUCUGGGACGUAGACAUGGUCCUUCGAUUCAUGAGGGAUUGGCUGGAUAAACCGUUGUCUCUUCGCCAACUCUCUGCAAAAUUUACCCUUUUACUUGUAUGGAAUGGUUUCGGCCUUUGAUGUCGAUGACAUCUCCUUCUCAACAGUAGGGGUUUCUUUUUCUAUUUCGCGUCAUACUUGACUAACUACUUUUUUAUUUUUUACCCGCGAAUUUGCAUGGUUAAAAUGUUGCUCCAAUACGUGGAGGUUACUUCUUCUCUGCACCGGGCUCCGUCUGGAUGACUCCUUUAUUCGUAUGUACACCCCCAUAAACAGUUUUCUUCUGCGACCCUUGUAAGAUGGGUGAGAUGCUUUCGUGCUUCGGUGCACAUUCGAUCAGGGCCGCGGCGUCAUUGCAAGCCUUCUCGUUGGGCGUCUCGGCGGACAUUAUGCUUUGUGCCGAUUGGUCACAGGAAGAAUCUUUUUGUGUCUUUUUACUUUAGACCUACUUCUCAUGCUUAUUUUACUUUACUCCCUUAGCGUUAAAAAUGCAAACGAUGAAGCCUCCUGUCAUGUGGUAAAAUUCUAGAUUAUGCUAACGUAGUGUACCUAUAAUCUUAAUUUUAGUAAUGACAGGAGGCGAAUAUUUUCCCACCCAUCUUGCCUCUGUCGCUUGUAUGUGGUUGUGUCUUUUCCUUUUGACAUUCUGGUUUAUAUUCUAUGAGUGGUUUAGUUAUAUAGUAAAUAUUGUGUGAAUUUGUUUUAUUUUUACAGUCGUUAUAGAUAUAUACAUAUUCAAUGUAUGUGUUUAUGUUGGCAACUCGCCAUUACGCUCGUCUUUCACUUGUUUUCUGUUCUUUUCAGCAUGAACCAUCCGUCUUCUGGCUGUUCGGAGUGGCUCAAGCAUACUCUUCAAUCUUUUGGGAAAGAUCAUGUUCUUUAUCUUGGUUUUGAUUUCAAGUGGUUCUGUUGACUGAACUGUUCUUCUCACACCAAAGAAAGAGGAAGAGGCGGGAUCAUACUGCCUGCUACAUACUUGUGUCAUUUAUUCUGAUUGGUUUAAACUUUAUGAUUGAUCUUUGCUGCUGAAGUUUACAGUAAAGAAAGUUAUGCAAAAUAUUCGCCUACUGUCAUUACUAAAAUUAAGUUUAGAGGUACACCACGUUAGCAUAAUCUACAAUUAUGUAUUCAGCUGGUUAUGAUAAGCAUAGUCAAAGAUCAGCUAUGCAUUGCUAUGCAUUUCCUCUUUAAGAUGAAUAAGUCAGUACAUGCCCUUAUAUUAUAGUGUGACAAUACACUGUUCAUUAAAAUUUAUUUUCAAAUUACAAUUUCCACACUCCUUACCAGACUUCACUGGAAAUUAAACUAUUGAUUAAGACAUAGAAAAUCAUCUAAAAAUUGUGUUAAAUUUGCAGCGCUUUGAAUUAUUUAAAAUCUAUACUAAAGAUUUAGCAAAUUACAUCACAAUCCGGUUCAGUCCAAAUACAGUCAAGGCCCACAUUGCAAAUGUGGAGGAUAAGCAGAAAGAUUGUUAAAUUUCUCCUCUUCAAUGUAUGCUUUCUUUACACUGACAGCCAAGUACAAAGGACAUAUUUUAUAACCAUAACUGACAGUGAGCUAAGAGGGUGUAGUUAAAGGAUAAAAAGGUAUGUAUUUCUACAUUACAUUUUUCACAUGUUAUAAAUACAUGUAUGUACAAUAUAGGGAAUAAGAAAAGAAAAUAUUUAAAAUAAUGGAAAGGAAUCGUUCUCUUACAAGGCUGGCAAACCAUCAAAGGUGUUAUAAUUCUACAAUAACUGACUUUCUAUCCUUUAGCCAUCCUUGGCCUAGCGAGUACUUGUGGAUCCCUGUCUAACUGAGCAAGCCAUAGUAAUUUUUAAUCUUUUAUAUUGUAAUUUUAUUUAUGUCUGCCAGCUUUUCCUCCUUACAUUUUACAUAACUGUUAGGACCAAUAUUCAUCUAUUGAUAUAGGUGGCAUGAGAGUAAUAUAAUUUCAUUUAACCUAUUAACUAUCAAAAAUAUGUAUACAUGGUUUUUAUUUUCAUUUGCUCUGCAAAACAAAAUGUAAUCCAUGAGGCCUCACUUAUCUUCAUUUAUACUCCAGGUACUCUCUCCAGGAAACUAUUAAACCAAUUUAAUGUCUGAAAACUGGCUAUAAAUGACACCCCCUCCUCCUUCCUAACAAUAAAGGAGACUUCAAAG
rnacentral:lncRNA from 1 species